CACACAUUCCCCACUUCUCUUUUGUUGUUGCGCUUCUCCCACACACACAGAGAAACUUGGACCGCAGAGCUUCCAUUCGCUAAACCUAACACUGUCAACAGACUCGAAAUGGAUUAGCUGCCACAACUGCGUGUUUUCUUAAGGCCUUAAUCAGGAAGCGCCGAAGGAACUGCGGCACACAGCGCCGGCCCUGAGCUCGCCGGCAGUGAGCACGGGCCCCUCAAUGAGGGAGGUGACAAAGUCCUUGCCCUUUUCACUCUUUGCUGUUGAAGAUGCACCAUCACGGCCGGCCCGGCUCCUGAGAGGGAUUUGCCAAACCCGAGAACCAAAGAGCAGACGAGGAAGAGAGGAUGAGGCGAGUGAAGGGACGGCGAGACCCGUUCUUGUGCUGGUGUCAGGGAAUAGAUUGGAUGAAUCUAUCUUCAUUAGGAUGAUGCAGGAAAGAGAGGGAUUCGAUUGAGGAGGGGCACUCCUAUGUGUGUAUGUGUGUCUUUUGUUGUGCCCCAUUUGCCGAUUUUUCAAUGUUUUGAGUUUUUCAAGUAUGCGAUAGCAAACAUCUAAAUGGAAAAUGGAAUAUUCAUUUUAAUUUGAGUAUUUCCACAGUCUCAGCUAUGACGAAAUGAUUAAAAAAGACUUUUAGGUGUGCCUUAUAGUGCGAAAAAUACGGUAACAGACAAAUCCAAUAUCUAUCAAUAUUAUUAAGCAUGUUUCAGCCUCAUAUUGGAAAUUAAAUUAUCAUAUUGGUCAGGUUAAACACCAAACAAACCAGUAAAAGAUAUAAAUAAUGAUAAAAAAAACUGGCCACUUCAUUAUUGCACCUCCUUGUUUCUACACAUUUUACUACCCAUUUUUUCAGCUCUACUGUCCAUAUAGGGGUAUUCCUAUAAUUCUAUAGUUCUAUAAUUACAAACUGUAGACCUGUAGAAUUGUAAACUGUUUCUUUUCUAGGGCCAUUCCAACAAAAUGUGCACACAACACAAAAUACAUUUAAAAUACAUUUUAUUAUUAAGUAUAGUGUCUUGUGCAUUGACCUAAUUGCAAAAGUAAGACAUGUAAUUACAAACAUUAAUACUUAUACUAAACAAUAACACUGAACAUAUAUAUAUAUAUAUAUGUAUAUAUAUAUAUAUAUUUUUUUUUUUUUUUGCAUUGUUGUGACUCCAAAUCCUCUCUAUGCUUUAAAAAUAUAUAUUUUUUAUAAUAAAUCCAUAAUAUUUAAUAAAAAAAAAUACACAUUUCAGUUGUGUCCUUGGGUUUCACUCAUUCCUGUUACCGUAACACAUUACCCCAUCUGAAAACAUCUGGAACAUUCUACAACAAGUCACAUCUACAACAGGAAGUGACAUCAACUGCUUCUUCUGAAGAUCAUGGAAAGACCAAAAUUAAGUUCCCUCAUUUGUUUUUUUGUAUAUUUGGUCUUAUUGUAACUAUGACUGAGGAGAUCAAUCUCAACACUCACUCCUGUUACCUUAAUUAAUUCUUAGAUCUUAUUUGUUUAUUUUUUAAUACAAAUAAUACAAAUAAUACAACGUUUGGGAAAUAUAUAGAAUGUGUUCAGUGUCCUCAAGCUAUGUUUCAUGUUUUAGCUAAUUCCAUGCUAAAAACUCAUUCCUGUUACUCAAAACAUAAAAAGUAACAGGAGUGAGUGCCAGUAACAGCAGUGAGUUCCAGUAACAGCAACGAGUAACAGUAACAGGAGUGAGUUCCUGUUACAGGAGUGAGUACCAGUAACAGGAAUGAGUUUUGUCCCCUGAUUUAUUGAUUUUAUCAAAUGUGAAUAUUAGUUCUUGUAUACCACUUUUUUUUCCAAUUCUGUUUGAUUCAUCGUUUAUCUAUUUGUUUACUAAAUUGCAUGAUAAUAAAUAUGAUCAAUUUCA